rnacentral:rRNA from 1 species
AUUGAACGCUGGCGGCAUGCUUUACACAUGCAAGUCGAACGGUAACAGGCCGCAAGGUGCUGACGAGUGGCGCACGGGGGAGUAAUGCAUCUGAACGUGCCCAGUCGUGGGGGAUAACUACUCGAAAGAGUAGCUAAUACCGCAUACGAUCUAUGGAUGAAAGCGGGGGACCGUAAGGCCUCGCGCGAUUGGAGCGGCCGAUGUGAGAUUAGGUAGUUGGUGGGGUAAAGGCUCACCCAGCCAACGAUCUGUAUCUGGUCUGAGAGGACGAACAGCCACACUGGGACUGAGAAACGGCCCAGACUCCUACGGGAGGGAGCAGUGGGGAAUUUUGGACAAUGGGCGCAAGCCUGAUCCAGCCAUGCCGCGUGCAGGAAGAAGGCCUUCGGGUUGUAAAAUGCUUUUGUACGGAAAGAAACGGCUCUGGUUAAUACCCGGGGCUAAUGACGGUACCGUAAGAAUAAGCACCGGCUAAAUACGUG